GGCACCAUGGUCUAGCUGGCUAAAGCACCUGCCUUGUAAGUAGGAGAUCCUGGGUUCAACUCCCAGUGGUGCCU
rnacentral:tRNA from 1 species